rnacentral:rRNA from 1 species
CGUAGGGUGCGAGCGUUAAUCGGAAUUACUGGGCGUAAAGCGUGCGCAGGCGGUUUUGUAAGACAGAUGUGAAAUCCCCGGGCUCAACCUGGGACCUGCAUUUGUGACUGCAAGGCUAGAGUACGGUAGAGGGGGAUGGAAUUCCGCGUGUAGCAGUGAAAUGCGUAGAUAUGCGGAGGAACACCGUUGGCGAAGGCAAUCCCCUGGGCCUGCACUGACGCUCAUGCACGAAAGCGUGGGGAGCAAACAGGAUUAGAUACCCUGGUAGUCCACGCCCUAAACGAUGUCAACUGGUUGUUGGGUCUUCACUGACUCAGUAACGAAGCUAACGCGUGAAGUUGACCGCCUGGGGAGUACGGCCGCAAGGUUG